rnacentral:rRNA from 1 species
AACGCGAAGAACCUUACCUGGGCUCGAAAUGCUGUGGACCAGCUUAUGAAAGUAGGCCUUCCCGCAAGGGACCGCAGUAUAGGUGCUGCAUGGCUGUCGUCAGCUCGUGUCGUGAGAUGUUGGGUUAAGUCCCGCAACGAGCGCAACCCUCGUCCUGUGUUGGCAUGCCGCAAGGCGCAACUCUCAGGAGACCGCCAGCGAUAAGCUGGAGGAAGGUGGGGAUGACGUCAAGUCAUCAUGGCCUUUAUGUCCAGGGCCACACACGUGCUACAAUGGGCGGUACAAAGCGCUGCCAACCCGCGAGGGGGAGCUAAUCGCCAAAAACCGUCCUCAGUUCGGAUUGCAGGCUGCAACUCGCCUGCAUGAAGCUGGAAUCGCUAGUAAUGCUAUAUCAGAACGAUAGCGUGAAUACGUUCCCGGGCCUUGUACACACCGCGCAUA